rnacentral:rRNA from 1 species
CCCGCGGUGCAUUAGUUAGUUGGCGGGGUAAUGGCCCACCAAGACUGCGAUGCAUAGCCGACCUGAGAGGGUGAUCGGCCACAUUGGGACUGAGACACGGCCCAAACUCCUACGGGAGGCAGCAGUAGGGAAUCUUCCACAAUGGACGAAAGUCUGAUGGAGCAACGCCGCGUGAGCGAAGAAGGUUUUCGGAUCGUAAAGCUCUGUUGCCGGAGAAGAACGAGUAUGAGAGGAAAUGCUUGUACUGUGACGGUAUCCGGCCAGAAAGCCACGGCUAACUACGUGCCAGCAGCCGCGGUAAUACGUAGGUGGCAAGCGUUGUCCGGAAUUAUUGGGCGUAAAGCGCGCGCAGGCGGCUUCUUAAGUCUGAUGUGAAAUCUUGCGGCUCAACCGCAAAUGGUCAUUGGAAACUGGGAAGCUUGAGUACAGAAGAGGAGAGUAGAAUUCCACGUGUAGCGG